rfam:Daphnia magna strain Xinb3 scaffold01033, whole genome shotgun sequence.
UUGUAAUGAUGAGUUGCUUAUUGGUCCGUGUUUAUGAUCAAGUGAUUUUACUUUACAGUAAGCUCUGAUGUA